rnacentral:rRNA from 1 species
UACGGAGGGUGCAAGCGUUAUCCGGAUUUACUGGGUUUAAAGGGUGCGUAGGUGGUCUUGUAAGUCAGCGGUGAAAGCUCGGAGCUCAACUCCGAAAUUGCCAUUGAUACUGCAAGGCUUGAGUACAGUUGAGGUAGGCGGAAUAUGUCAUGUAGCGGUGAAAUGCUUAGAUAUGACAUAGAACACCAAUUGCGAAGGCAGCUUGCUAAACUGAAACUGACACUGAGGCACGAAAGCGUGGGGAUCAAACAGG